rnacentral:rRNA from 1 species
UUCGCAAUGCCCGAAAGGGUGACGAAGCGACGCCGCGUGUGGGAAGAAGGCCUUCGGGUUGUAAACCACUGUCGGGAGUUAAGAAAUACAAGGAUAUGAAUAGUGUCUUUGUUUGACUAAGGCUCCGGAGGAAGCCACGGCUAACUCUGUGCCAGCAGCCGCGGUAAUACAGAGGCGGCAAGCGUUGUUCGGAAUUAUUGGGCGUAAAGAGCACGUAGGCGGCUAUGUAAGUCGGUUGUGAAAGCCUUCCGCUCAACGGGAGAACAGCAUCCGAUACUACAUGGCUUGAGUGCGGGAGGGGAGAGUGGAACUUCUGGUGGAGCGGUGGAAUGCGUAGAUAUCAGAAGGAACGCCGGCGGCGAAAGCGGCUCCCUGGCCCAUAACUGACGCUGAGUGUGCGAAAGCUAGGGGAGCAAACGGGAUUAGAUACCCCGGUAGUCCUAGCCGUAAACGAUGGGCACUAAGUAGAGGGGUUUU